CCAGGAAGGCAGAGUAAGGGAAAGGUUCUUAAAAUCACAGGUAUCUUGAGGGCUCAUAUCCUGCAGGACCAGAGGCGGAGUCAGCAGGUGCUUUCCUGAAUUCUGAAUAAACAAAAGGAAGGUCAUCAACUCUGUCUUGUCUCUCUCCUGGAGAAGCAGCUACCACAGCCAUGGCCUCUGGAUAUUCUGUCAAGGAAAAGGAGCAAAUCUGCCAGAGACACCAGGAACCCCUGAAGCCCUACUCCAAGGACCACAAUGCAUCCAACUGUGCGGAGUGUGACUGGUUGAAGGAGCACGAAAACCACCAGGAUCAGAUUUGGAAGUUGCUGCAGACUCUGAAAAUGAAGAAAGGGAAAAUUCUGGCCUACAAAGUAGAUGCAGCAUGGGAAAGCCAAGAUUUGCUCGAGAGAACCCAAAGAGCGAAGGAGAAGACUGUGGCUGCAUUCAUGCACAUGCAUCAUUUUCUAGAGGAACAAGAGAGGCACCUGCUGACAAAAAUUGAGAAGGUACAGAAUGAGAUUUCUGCAAAAUGGGAGGAACAUCUGGCCAGACUCUCUGAAGAACUCUCCUCUCUCUCGAAACUCAUCCAAGAGAUGGAGGAGACGCAUCAUCAGCCAGCAAGUGAACUUCUCCAGGAUAUCAGGUGCUUCUUACAGGGGUAA